GCCGGGUGUGUUGGCACAUGCCUGUAAUCUCAGCAGCUCAAGAGGCUGAGGCAGGAGGAUCACAAGUUCAAAGCCAUCCUCAGCAAUAGCAAGUUGCUAAGCAUUUCAGUAAUACCCUGUCUGUA
rnacentral:sRNA from 1 species